CUAGCAUAUCAAUAAGCGGAGGAAAAGAAACCAACAGGGAUUGCCCUAGUAACGGCGAGUGAAGCGGCAACAGCUCAAAUUUGAAAUCUGGCGCAAGCCCGAGUUGUAAUUUGUAGAGGAUGUUUCUGGCGACGUGCCUUCCGAGUUCCCUGGAACGGGACGCCAUAGAGGGUGAGAGCCCCGUACGGUUGGAUGCCUAGCCUCUGUGAAACUCCUUCGACGAGUCGAGUAGUUUGGGAAUGCUGCUCUAAAUGGGAGGUAUACGUCUUCUAAAGCUAAAUACCGGCCAGAGACCGAUAGCGCACAAGUAGAGUGAUCGAAAGAUGAAAAGCACUUUGAAAAGAGGGUUAAAAAGUACGUGAAAUUGUUGAAAGGGAAGCGUUCAUGACCAGACUUGAGCAGGUUGAUCAUCCGUGGUUCUCCGCGGUGCACUCUGCCUGCUCAGGCCAGCAUCAGUUCGUUCCGGGGGAUAAAGGCUCUGGGAAUGUGGCUCCUUCGGGAGUGUUAUAGCCCACUGCGUAAUACCCUGGGGUGGACUGAGGUUCGCGCUCUGCAAGGAUGCUGGCGUAAUGGUCAUCAACGACCCGUCUUGAAACACGGACCAAGGAGUCGUCUUCGUAUGCGAGUGUUCGGGUGUCAAACCCCUACGCGUAAUGAAAGUGAACGUAGGAGAGAGCUUCGGCGCAUCUCCGACCGAUCCUGAUGUUCUCGGAUGGAUUUGAGUAAGAGCAUACGGGGCCGGACCCGAAAGAAGGUGAACUAUGCCUGUAUAGGGUGAAGCCAGAGGAAACUCUGGUGGAGGCUCGCAGCGGUUCUGACGUGCAAAUCGAUCGUCAAAUAUGGGCAUGGGGGCGAAAGACUAAUCGAACCUUCUAGUAGCUGGUUUCCGCCG
rnacentral:rRNA from 1 species